rnacentral:ncRNA from 1 species
AAAGGGGUGCCCGCAAGGGCUGAGAUUAUACCCUCAAAACCUGAUGCAGGCAAUGCUGCCGUAGGAAUUGAGCC